UACGUAGGGGGCAGGCGUUGUCCGGAAUUAUUGGACGUAAAGCGCGCGCAGGCGGCGAUCUACGUCUGGGGUGAAAGCCCGGAGCUCAACUCCGGGACUGCCUUGGAUACGGGAUCGCUUGAGGAUUGGAGAGGCAAGGGGAAUUCCACGUGUAGCGGUGAAAUGCGUAGAGAUGUGGAGGAACACCUGUGGCGAAGGCGCCUUGCUGGCCAAUUACUGACGCUGAGGCGCGAAAGCGUGGGGAGCAAACAGG
rnacentral:rRNA from 1 species